rnacentral:rRNA from 1 species
GACGAACGCUGGCGGCGUGCUUAACACAUGCAAGUCGAACGGAAAGGCCCUGCUUUUGUGGGGUGCUCGGGUGGCGAACGGGUGAGUAACACGUGAGUCACCUGCCCUUGACUUUGGGAUAACUUCAGGAAACUGGGGCUCAUACCGGAUAGGAGCUCCUGCUGCAUGGUGGGGGUUGGAAAGUUUCGGCGGUUGGGGAUGGACUCGCGGCUUAUCAGCUUGUUGGUGGGGUAGUGGCUUACCAAGGCUUUGACGGGUAGCCGGCCUGGGAGGGUGACCGGCCACAUUGGGACGGAGAUACGGCCCAGACUCCUACGGAAGGCAGCAGUGGGGAAUAUUGCACAAUGGGCGGAAGCCUGAUGCAGCAACGCAGCGUGCGGGAUGACGGCCGUCGGGUUGUAAACCGCGUUCGCCUGUGACGAAGCGUGUGUGACGGUAAUGGGUAAAGAAGCACCGGCUAACUACGUG